rnacentral:rRNA from 1 species
GACGAACGCUGGCGGCGUGCUUAACACAUGCGAGUCGAACGGAAAGGCCCUGCUUUUGUGGGGUGCUCGAGUGGCGAACGGGUGAGUAACACGUGAGUAACCUGCCCUGGACUUGGUGAUAACUUCAGGAAACUGGGGCUACUACCGGAUAGGAGCUCCGGCUGCAGGGUGGGGGUUGGAACGUUUCGGCGGUUGGGGAUGGACUCGCGGCUUAUCAGCUUGUUGGGGGGGUAGUGGCUUACCAAGGCUUUGACGGGUAGCCGGCCUGAGAGGUUGACCGGCCACAUUGGGACUGAGAUACGGCCCAGACUCCUACGGGAGGCAGCAGUGGGGAAUAUUGCACAAUGGGCGGAAGCCUGAUGCAGCAACGCCGCGUGCGGGAUGACGGCCUUCGGGUUGUAAACCGCUUUGGCCUGUGACGAAGCGUGAGUGACGGUAAUGGGUAAAGAAGCACCGGCUAACUACGUG